rnacentral:rRNA from 1 species
ACAUGCAAGUCGCACGAGAAAGGGCUUCGGCCCCGGUAAAGUGGCGCACGGGUGAGUAACACGUGGGUAAUCUGCCCUCGAGCGGGGGAUAACAUCUCGAAAGGGAUGCUAAUACCGCAUAAGACCACAGCCUCGAAAGAGGCAGCGGUCAAAGCAGGCCUCUGUAUACAAGCUUGCACUUGAGGAUGAGCCCGCGGCCCAUCAGCUAGUUGGCAGGGUAACGGCCUACCAAGGCGACGACGGGUAGCUGGUCUGAGAGGAUGAUCAGCCACACUGGAACUGAGACACGGUCCAGACUCCUACGGGAGGCAGCAGUGGGGGAAUCUUGCGCAAUGGGCGAAAGCCUGACGCAGCGACGCCGCGUGGGUGAUGAAGGCCUUCGGGUUGUAAAGCUCUGUGGGGAGAGACGAAUAAGCACUGGCUAAUAUCCAAUGUGAUGACGGUAUCUCCUUAGCAAGCACCGGCUAACUCUGUG